rnacentral:rRNA from 1 species
AGUGGACGUUACUCGCAGAAUAAGCACCGGCUAACUCUGUGCCAGCAGCCGCGGUAAUACAGAGGGUGCAAGCGUUAAUCGGAUUUACUGGGCGUAAAGCGUGCGUAGGUGGCCAAUUAAGUCAAAUGUGAAAUCCCCGAGCUUAACUAGGGAAUUGCAUUCGAUACUGGUUGGCUAGAGUAUGGGAGAGGAUGGUAGAAUUCCAGGUGUAGCGGUGAAAUGCGUAGAGAUCUGGAGGAAUACCGAUGGCGAAGGCAGCCAUCUGGCCUAAUACUGACACUGAGGUACGAAAGCAUGGGGAGCAAACAGGAUUAGAUACCCUGGUAGUCCAUGCCGUAAACGAUGUCUACUAGCCGUUGGGGCNUUUGAGGCUUUAGUGGCGCAGCUAACGCGAUAAGUAGACCGCCUGGGGAGUACGGUCGCAAGACUA